rnacentral:rRNA from 1 species
AACCUGCGGAAGGAUCAUUAGUGAAUUUAAAAAAAAUAUAGAAUUGGAUCGUAAAAAAAUCCAAAUUCUUAUUUUCUUAUUCUCUCUCUUCCACUGUGAAAUUUUAAACUAUUCGGGCGGUUUUUUUUACCGGUCGAGGUUUAGAGAUGGGACUGUUAAAAAAUUGUUGGGGGGAACGCGCUCCACUUAAGUGGAGCAAUUCCCAACAACCUUUCUUUUUUCUCUCCUUGAUCUAGCCGAAUUACCCCUAAUUUUUUUUUUAGAGACAAUGUUAAAUUUGAAUGUGUUUUAUUUAAUAAACAAAUUAAAACUUUCAGUGACGGAUCUCUUGGCUCUCGCAUCGAUGAAGAACGCAGUAAAUCGCGAUACGUAAUGUGAAUUGCAGAAAUAUGUGAAUCAUCGAAUCUUUGAACGCAUCUUGCGCUCUGUGGUACUCCUCAGAGCAUGCCUGUUUGAGUGUCUUUUAAUUCUCAUCUCAUAAUUUUUAUUAAUUUAAAAGUUAUAUAGGUGGAUCGUGGCUGUUUUUGACGAUUUAGUUUGUCUCAGCUGAAAUAUAGAAAGCGACGUCUAAAAUUCAGAGUAAUUAAGAUGUUAACGUCGGCGUGAUAAGUAAAUUACGCAGUCUGUUUUCUUGUCUAUAUAUCUCUGGUGUUCGCUACGAAUUAUAACCUAAUUUUCAACAUUUGACCUCAAAUCAGGUAGGACUACCCGCUGAACUUAA